GGGAUAUGGCGAAAUCGGUAGACGCUACGGACUUAUAGUAAGAGGAAAAUCCGUCGACUUUAAAAAUCGUGAGGGUUCAAGUCCCUCUAUCCCC
rnacentral:tRNA from 1 species